rnacentral:rRNA from 1 species
GACGGAGGGUGCAAGCGUUGUUCGGAAUCACUGGGCGUAAAGCGCGUGUAGGCGGUGCGGUAAGUCGGAUGUGAAAUCCCGAGGCUCAACCUCGGAACUGCGUUCGAAACGGCCGCGCUAGAGUACGGGAGAGGGAAGUGGAAGUCCUGGUGUAGAGGUGAAAUUCGUAGAUAUCAGGAGGAACACCGGUGGCGAAGGCGGCUUCCUGGACCGAUACUGACGCUGAGACGCGAAAGCGUGGGGAGCAAACAGG